rnacentral:rRNA from 1 species
UACGUAGGGUCCGAGCGUUGUCCGGAAUUACUGGGCGUAAAGAGCUCGUAGGCGGUUUGUCGCGUCUGCUGUGAAAUCCCGAGGCUCAACCUCGGGUCUGCAGUGGGUACGGGCAGACUAGAGUGUGGUAGGGGAGAUUGGAAUUCCUGGUGUAGCGGUGAAAUGCGCAGAUAUCAGGAGGAACACCGGUGGCGAAGGCGGGUCUCUGGGCAGUAACUGACGCUGAGGAGCGAAAGCGUGGGGAGCAAACAGG